CAGGUGUUAGUUUAUAAAAAUAUUGGUUUUGGGGACCAAAGAUAAAAGUUUUUUUACUCCUGA
rnacentral:tRNA from 2 species